AAAAAAAAGACGAUAA
rnacentral:sRNA from 1 species